GGAAGGAUCAUUAUUGAAUAAAUGUUUGGUAGGCUGUUGCUGACUCUUGUUAACAAUGAGAGUAUGUGCACGCUUGUCGUAUUUAUUUUUUUUCCACCUGUGCACUUUUUGUAGAUCCUAGAGAAGUAUUUGUCCUUAAAAACAUAAGGUCCAGAUUGAGGAUUUGCUGUGUCUUUCAAAAAGAGGGAGGAUUCAGCUUUUUACCUUGUAUCUCUUAGGCAUUUAUGUCCUUCACAUACUCCUAUAAAUGCAAUAGAAUGUUGAUCCUAGGUCUUUAGUUACCUAUACAGUUGUGUACAACUUUCAGCAACGGAUCUCUUGGCUCUCGCAUCGAUGAAGAACGCAGCGAAAUGCGAUAAGUAAUGUGAAUUGCAGAAUUCAGUGAAUCAUCGAAUCUUUGAACGCAUCUUGCGCUCCUUGGUAUUCCGAGGAGCAUGCCUGUUUGAGUGUCAUUAAAUUCUCAACUACGCAAAUUUUUUUGUUGUGUAGCUUGGAUUUGGGAGGUUUUGCUGGCUUGCAUACAAAAAAAGUCGGCUCUCCUGAAAUUCAUUAGCAGGGUGGGGUUUACUUUGUAGAAUGUUCUACAGGUGUGAUAAACUUAUCUACUCCUUGGACAAUCUGCCUUGAAAAGAAAAAGUUUAUCCUGCUUCUAAUGUCAUCCUCUAUUGAGGCAUUUGUUGACAAUUUUGACCUCAAAUCAGGUAGGAUUACCCGCUGAACUUAAGCAUAUCAAUAAGCGGAGGAAAAGAAACUAACAAGGAUUCCCCUAGUAACUGCGAGUGAAGCGGGAAAAGCUCAAAUUUAAAAUCUGGCAGCAUUUUAGUUGUCCGAGUUGUAAUCUAGAGAAGUGUUACCCGUGCUGGACCGUGUAAAAGUCUCCUGGAAUGGAGCAUCACAGAGGGUGAGAAUCCCGUCUUUGACACGGACUACUGGUGCUUUUGUGGUAUGCUCUCAAAGAGUCGAGUUGUUUGGGAAUGCAGCUCAAAAUGGGUGGUAAAUGCCAUCUAAAGCUAAAUAUUGGCGAGAGACCGAUAGCGAACAAGUACCGUGAGGGAAAGAUGAAAAGAACUUUGGAAAGAGAGUUAAACAGUACGUGAAAUUGCUGAAAGGGAAACGCUUGAAGUCAGUCACAUUGACUUGGAAUCAACCCUGCUUUUGCUGGGUGUACUUUCGUGUUAAUGGGUCAGCAUCAAUUUUGGCCGUUGGAUAAAGUUGUUGGGAAUGUGGCAUCUUCGGAUGUGUUAUAGCCUGAUGAUGCAUACAGCGGUUGGGAUUGAGGAACUCAGCACGCCGCAAGGCCGGGUUUCGACCACGUUCGUGCUUAGGAUGCUGGCAUAAUGGCUUUAAUCGACCCGUCUUGAAACACGGACCAAGGAGUCUAACAUGCCUGCAAGUGUUUGAGUGGAAAACUCAUGCGCGUAAUGAAAGUGAAAGUUGAGAUCCCUUUGGGGAGCAUCGACGCCCGGACCAGACCUUUUGUGACGGAUCCGCGGUAGAGCAUGCAUGUUGGGACCCGAAAGAUGGUGAACUAUGCCUGAAUAGGGUGAAGCCAGAGGAAACUCUGGUGGAGGCUCGUAGCGAUUCUGACGUGCAAAUCGAUCGUCAAAUUUGGGUAUAGGGGCGAAAGACUAAUCGAACCAUCUAGUAGCUGGUUCCUGC
rnacentral:misc_RNA from 1 species